AAAAUAAGGGUCACACAGUCAGCUAGAGCAUGCAUGGAUGUACUGGGAAGGAACUGAAAUGCAAAUUUGUGAAUUACACAGGAAUUCACAUAUAGCCAGACCUAAUUGAUUUUGGAACCACAAGCAUAAUACAUGAUUCACUUGAGUUCCAGAGAUCUAAAGGAAGAAACACAUCAAGAUUCAACUAGAUGCUCUACAACAGUGGCCUGUAGACAGUAAUUAUGAAGAAGGUAAGAAAGAUGAAGAAGACAGGUUGGAUUUCAUUUAUGACUUGAAUGUUUAAUCCCUGAAGUAGCAGUGGGGAUGCAGAAG
rnacentral:lncRNA from 1 species